rnacentral:rRNA from 1 species
AUUGAACGCUGGCGGCAUGCCUUACACAUGCAAGUCGAACGGUAACAGGUCUUCGGAUGCUGACGAGUGGCGAACGGGUGAGUAAUACAUCGGAACGUGCCCGAGAGUGGGGGAUAACGAAGCGAAAGCUUUGCUAAUACCGCAUACGAUCUCAGGAUGAAAGCAGGGGACCGCAAGGCCAUGCGCUCACGGCUCGGCAGAUGGCGGAUUAGGUAGUUGGUGGGAUAAAAGCUUACCAAGCCGAGGAUCUGUAGCUGGUCUGAGAGGACGACCAGCCACACUGGGACUGAGACACGGCCCAGACUCCUACGGGAGGCAGCAGUGGGGAAUUUUGGACAAUGGGCGCAAGCCUGAUCCAGCCAUGCCGCGUGCAGGAUGAAGGCCUUCGGGUUGUAAACUGCUUUUGUACGGAACGAAAAGACUCCUUCUAAUAAAGGGGGUCCAUGACGGUACCGUAAGAAUAAGCACCGGCUAACUACGUGCCAGCCGCCGCCGUAACAC